CCUACGGGAGGCAGCAGUGGGGAAUAUUGGGCAAUGGACGCAAGUCUGACCCAGCAACGCCGCGUGAAGGAAGAAGGCUUUCGGGUUGUAAACUUCUUUUUAGGGGGAAGAGCAGAAGACGGUACCCCUUUAAUUAGCCACGGCUAACUACGUGCCAGCAGCCGCGGUAAUACGUAGGUGGCAAGCGUUGUCCGGAUUUACUGGGUGUACAGGGCGUGCAGGCGGGUAGGCAAGUCAGAUGUGAAAUCCCGCGGCACAACCGCGGAACUGCAUUUGAAACUGUUUUUCUUGAGUAUCGGAGAGGUAAGCGGAAUUCGUGGUGUAGCGGUGAAAUGCGUAGAUAUUAGGAAGAACACCAGUGGCGAAGGCGGAUUACUGGACGACAACUGACGGUGAGGCGCGAAAGCGUGGGGAGCAAACAGGAUUAGAUACCCCAGUAGUC
rnacentral:rRNA from 1 species